GGUCCUAAGGUAGCGAAAUGCCUUGGCCGUUAAAUGCGGUCUUGCAUGAAUGAUGUAACGAUACAACAGCUGUCUCUACGAUUGACCCAGUGAACUUGAAUUAGCAGUGCAGAUGCUGCUUACCUCUAGCUGGACGAGAAGACCCUAUGCAGCUUUACUGUUACUAAUUAUAGGGUAUAGAAGGCAAAUUUUAGACAUAAGGUAUAUCGGUAGAUGAACAUGAAAAUCCUUUAUUUUUCUUUUAUAUUUUUGAAUGAAAUCAGGAAUAUAGUUUAUUAGCUAUAUUAGUGAUUUAACCUAGUUCAAAUAAUGGCCUUAGGUGAGGAACUAUUGUUAGGAGACAGUUUAUGCGGGGCACAGACCCCAUAAAGAGUAAAUGGG
rnacentral:rRNA from 1 species